UACGAAGGGGGCUAGCGUUGCUCGGAAUGACUGGGCGUAAAGGGCGCGUAGGCGGCUCAUACAGUCAGGCGUGAAAUUCCUGGGCUCAACCUGGGGACUGCGCUUGAGACGUGUGGGCUUGAGUGGGGAAGAGGGUCGUGGAAUUCCCAGUGUAGAGGUGAAAUUCGUAGAUAUUGGGAAGAACACCGGUGGCGAAGGCGGCGACCUGGUCCUUGACUGACGCUGAGGAACGAAAGCGUGGGGAGCAAACAGG
rnacentral:rRNA from 1 species